CCUCACUGUUACCACCAUCAUCAUCAUCCUCCUCCAGCCUCCACCGCUAUGAUGCUGCAUCUCAUCCCUCCAGCUGUAAUAAUGUGUUUAAGUGUGAUAGUGAACGGACAAUCCGAGGACUCCAAACUGACCGACAGACCUUAUGUUGUUUUACAGAAACAGAAUUUAGUCACGCUGGGGAGUGUCCUCGCAGUGCUGCUGGUGCUCAUGAUCAUCAUGGCUGUCUGUGUCUACAAACCGCUGUCUCGGCGGUGAACGUGGCCCCAAACUGUGAGGAGAUAAAGACCAAGAGACAGACCUGCUGUCGGCCCAGUGCAACGAGCACCGAGCAGCUGUGCGCUGGUGCCACAACAACCACCACCACCGUUCCGAGCUGUGGCACCACAGCUAGCUGCCAACACCCACACUGCACAAUGAGAUACUACCUUUGGUUUCACUUCUCAUGAAAUCAAGUUGUUGAAGAGUCACUGUAUGUUUGGAUGCAUCAGACUAUUACACCUGUUUUAAUAUGCUGUAUUCUCUUUUUUUUUAAUUUUUAAAUGACUACUCCCAAUACUCUGUGCUUUUAGAUAUACUACAUGUGCCAUAGUUUAUUUAUUUUUAUUUAUUAAUGUGGACUACACAUUUUAUUAAGUAAAUGCAGUAAUUAGAUGCAGUUUAUUUACUUUUAUGGCACUUAUUGAAGGGAAAUUUGGUCUAUACGCCUGGACUUUUGCAGCCAUUAAAUGAAUCUGAGUUGUCAUUGCUUACAGUGGCAUGCAAAAGUUGGGCACUCCUGGUCACAGUUUCUUUUAAUGUGAAUAGUUAAGUGAUUAGAAGAUAUACUGAUCUCCAAAAGGCACAAACCUAAAGCUGGAACAUGCUAGAUUAUUAUUUUUGUUUUGUACAAUUUUAGAGUGAAAAGGGGGAAAGGAGCACCAUGCAAAAGUCUGGGCACUCCACAUUGAGCUCUCAGACAGCUAAUUGGCUUGUCAGCACUCUGGCUUCUUCACAGUAACCAUUAGGAAAGGCAAGGUGGUUCAAAUUUCAAAGCUUUAGAAAUAUUCAGACUCCUGAAACCUUUUCCUGUCACUCAGCAGCCAUGGGCUCCUCUAAACAGCUGCCCAACACUCUGAAAACUAAAAUAAUUGAUGCCCACAAAGCAGGAGAAGGUUAUAAGACCAUCGCAAAGCGUUUCGAGGUACCUGUGUCCUCAGUCCGCAAUAUAAUUAAGAAAUGGCAGUUAACAGGAAGUAUAGAGGUCAAGUUUAGGUCUGGACGACCAAGUAAACUUUCCAAAAGAGCUACUCGUAGGAUUGCUAGAAAGGCACAUCAGAAUCCUUGUUUGACCGCAAAAGACUUGCAGAAAGAUUUAGCAGACUCUGGAGUGGUGGUGCACUGUUCUACUGUGCAGCGCUACCUGCACAAAUAUGACUUUAAUGGAAGACACAUAAGAAGAAAAAACAAGACACAUAAGUCAGCAUCAGAAGAUUGCAAAGGAACAUCUGAACAAGUCGUAUGCAUUUUGGAAGCAAGUCCUGUGAAGUGAUAAUAUUAAAAUAUAAAUUUUUGGAUGCACUGAGCAACGGAUCGAUCAUGCUUUGGGCUUGUGUUGCAGCCAGCAGCAGGGGGAACAUUUCACAGGUAGAGGGAAAAAUGGAUUCAGUUAAAUUCCAGCAAAUUGUGGAGGCAAACAUCACAGCAUCUGUAAAAAAAGCUGAAGAUGAAGAGAGGACAAUGAUCCUGAACACAUCUCAAUCCACAAUGGACUAAUAUAUAGGAAAUGUGCUAAUAGGAAAUGGAGUUAUGCAACCAUAAAACUGUCAACUGUGUGAUUACAAAGUGAGAAGGCUUCUGUGCAGAUUAAACCAAGCGAUACAAGAAAUAACUCAGAUUGUCUCCCUUAAAUGUCACAAUCUGCUCAACCUCCUGAAAUAAAACUGAGUCUGGAUCAUCAUUUUGUUCUGUGACUGAUUAGUCAGAUGAUGAAGAUGAAGGAGAUCCUGCUCUGUAACUGAUUUAUGACGAAGAUGCUGUAAUUAUGAACUGCCAACAGAGAACUAGGCUGAUUGUACUAAAACUAAUGCACAAUAAAAUCAGAUAGAGGCAGUCAUCAGUAUAUCAAUUUACUCUUCAUUAAAAUUUAGACAGUAACAUCUGCUAGGUCUGCACAAUUAAUCAAAAUAGUAUAAAAAUCUCAAUAUGGGGUGUUCUCAAUAAAUGAGGUGAUCAGCUGUGUUUUGUGAAUAAAGCACAUGAACAAAGUCAGGUUCAGUCCUCAUGGAAAUAAAGUGCUUUUAUUUUAGAAACAACAUUUUGAAAUUGACACAUUUUCUUAAAAUUUUAACAUAUUAAAAAAAAAAACCAACCUUGCAGCUGGAACGGUGCAUUACAAAGACCUGCAUUAAAUUAACAAAGCUAGCCUUUUUAAAGUUGACUGUUCAGCAGUUUGGAAAACUUGAUCGUUACACAAUAAGUAGUUCUUCAGCCUCUGAAAGUGAGACGCAGCUACGCAGAGACCUUUGAUAAGUGGUUGGUAGUCAGUGAAGUCAAGUAUAGUGGUUAAUGCAUGUUACUCAGCAUCACCCUGGCACAACUGAAACCUCUUCACUGUGUUUUUAAGUUACAAAAUUAAAAAAAAAAAAAAAAAAAAAAAAAAAA